rnacentral:rRNA from 1 species
UGCAAUCUACCUUUCACAGAGGGAUAGCCCAGAGAAAUUUGGAUUAAUACCUCAUAGUAUUAUAGAAUGGCAUCAUUUUAUAAUUAAAGUCACAACGGUGAAAGAUGAGCAUGCGUCCCAUUAGCUAGUUGGUAAGGUAACGGCUUACCAAGGCAACGAUGGGUAGGGGUCCUGAGAGGGAGAUCC